GAGGGGAGGCCCCUCGGCAUCGGCUUGCACGAGCAGAUGCCAAACCGCCUUGAGCGGCUCUAUUCCAAGGGAUGGGGUCGUGAACGUCAAGGAGCGGUGCCAUCGGAAGAGAUGAACGCAAGU
rfam:Elusimicrobia bacterium RIFCSPLOWO2_01_FTLL_59_12 rifcsplowo2_01_scaffold_8356, whole genome shotgun sequence.